rnacentral:lncRNA from 10 species
AGUGGACUGGAACUCUUUAGAGUAUAUGACUGCACCUCAUGAGGUACACUGAACUAGAACUGCCCAGGUCCACAUUUGCUGAAAUGUAACUCUUAUCUCAUGCACUGGGAGUGAUGAACUUCACUAGGAAAUCAUCGUUCUUUCUGGUGCCUAUUGACUUCUCACAUUGUUGCCACUAUAACGCGGAUACAAGCUGAAACUCACAAUUGUUAUGUUUUGAAACUUGCUAAGGAAUUAGACGAUAUAAGCUGCAGCUCAGAAUCAGAGCAGGUCAAGUUGCUUCUUUUCAGUGAUCAUAAUCAAUUAUCCAGGAAAAGGGACAGAAGAAAUCAGGAAAAAGGAGAAUAGACUCUUUAUGCAUAGGAGCUUUAAUAUAUAGUUGACACUUGAACAACAUGGAUCUGAACUACACAAGUCCACUUAUUGGUGGAUUUUCUUCAGCCUCUGCCACCCUUGAGACAACAAGACCAAUACCUCCUCUUUUUCCUUCUCCUCAGCCUACUCAACUUGAAGAUGGUGAGAAUGAAGACCUUUAUGAUCAUCCACUUCUACUUGUUGAAUAGUAAAUAUAUUUUUUCCUUAUGGUUUUCUUAAUAACACUUUCUUUUCUCUUGAUUACUUUAUUGCCAGAAUACAGUACAUAGUACAUAUAAUAAGCAAAGUAUGUAUUAGUUUACUGUUUAAGUGAUAGGUAAGGCUUCCACUCAA